CUUUCAACUUCUUCUUGUACUCCAACAAAAACUGAGUCUUUCACUUCUUCUUACCUCUCCGUCCACAUUCGCUGCCCAAAAGAAGUGGCUUCAGUGUGGCUUGAGAAGUGGUAGAUGGAGUAAACUUUCCUAAAGAAUCAGCUACAAUUUGUGAUGGUAAAAGAUAAGACUCAUCAAACGAAUAUUCAGCAAGAAAGAGAAGAUAUGUUUCUAACUUGUAAAUCACAUUAUUUUAUAAAACUUUUCACUAAAGCAUGUAGUUAGAUAUCUUUCUAUGUAUCAUCAUUAUCCCUAGAAUCUACGUAUGACUGUUUUCUUAUAACUUAUCAUACUUGUCACAAACAUAUCUACUUUAUUAUUGUCACAAGCCCUUAUUAACAACUUCUAUAUAGUACGAUACCAUAUGGGAAUUUGGAUAUAACGAAGAUGUUAAUCAGAAGCUCAUUUUAUGAGGAUGUGUGUCAAAAUCAUUUUAUCCACUAGGGAAACAAGAAGGAGCAUUAUCCUGGAUGGGAAAUGUCAUGAUCCAGAGAAGCUUAAGUCAUAUAUGUGCUAUAUCCAAAGGACUAGUCGGAAUUGGAGCUUUCUAGAAUCACUUAUUUAACCUAAUUCCACCAAAUACAUAAUCACUAUGGAGACUUAGCAUAUUCCCAUGUAAUGCCUUGACAAUCUAUCCAUCAAAUAUGAGACUUAACUCAAAUUCCUACCACUCAAAUUCCUAGAAUCUUUAUUAGGGUCCAUGUUGUGUUGCAAUGUCCUAGUGCCACAUGGCGUUAGUAGGUUGACCCUGAUAUCAUUUGUCACGAGUUGAUAAACCAUUAGUCACAUCUGCCUCCAAAAGGAUUAAUCACAAUUUGAACAUAAAUCAUUUACAUAGCCCAUUUUCACUUGUAUAGAACUAAUGUGAGAUUCAGCAUAUGUCCAUGCAAUGCCAUCACAUUCCUCCACCCAAUAUGGGGCUAUAUACAAAACCUUCCCAAUCCAAAGUAUCACAGGAAGAAUGGUGAAAAAGGACUCCUAGAACUGGUCAUAUGUUGGAAUUAGGGCUUGUCUCAUGAGUUAAGGCUUUGUUAAGUUGAGUGAAUUUGCAAAAUUUUAACAGUGUGUUGCUUCUAUGUUCCUCAGGAUAUGCUUUCUGAAGCUCUUUUAUGCUUUGGUGCAAGUUCUAUCACCAUGGAUGAAGAAGACGCCUCUGAGAAUUCUGACAAGAUUUCUAUGGAUUCUAUAUUUCCUGAAGGAAAGGAUGUAAAUGUGUGCAUUUCACGUGCUGCUAAGUCUAUAGGCUUGAAAGAGAUUCCUCAUUAUGAUGUUAAAAUGGGUGAGCAAUCCGACUGGAUAAGGAAAACUCAGGAAUCAUUUCAUCCAGUUGAAGUCACUGAAGGAGUUUGGGUUGUGCCAGAGUGGAUAACUCCCCCUGAUGUUCAAGCAACAAACAUAAUUCUGAAUCCUGGAUUAGCAUUUGGGACUGGGGAGCACCCUACAACUAAGAUGUGUCUAUUGCUGCUGCAUAGCUUAAUAAAAGGUGGAGAACUUGUCUUGGAUUAUGGUACAGGCUCUGGGGUUCUUGCAGUCGCAGCAGUUAAGUUUGGUGCUGCCUUAUCAGUUGGAAUUGAUGUAGAUCCCCAAGCCAUUACAUCUGCAUGCCAGAAUGCUUCCCUGAACAACAUAAGACCUGAGAAAAUGCAAUUACACCUGGUUCCUGGUAAAGCCUGUCCCCCCUCCAUGAAUGAAAGGACAUGUGGAGUUGUGGAAGAACCGAAGUCAAAUGGUAUGGGGUUUAUCUGUGGAACAGAGCAGUAUGAUGUGGUCAUUGCAAAUAUACUUUUAAAUCCUUUGUUAGAGUUGGCAGAUAAUAUUGUCUCUUAUGCCAAACAUGGAUCUGUCGUUGGUCUCUCUGGUAUUCUAUCUGAGCAGGUUCCAUAUAUUAUAGAGCGAUAUUCACCAUUCUUAGAAGGCAUAUCUGUGUCAGAGAUGGAUGACUGGGCCUGUGUGAGUGGCAGAAAGAAAAGAAAAUCUUGCUGACUGCUGAGGAAACUUUCAGUUUGCAAAAGUUUGAUGGUUGAUCAUUGAAAGCUUGCAAAAGUUGCGAAACUUUCAACUUUCAACUUGCCUUGAUUAAGAAGCUAAGCAGUUAGCAUCGACCGUUGAUCAUUGCUGUCCGAUGCAAGCCUAUGGUGUCUGUCUGGAAUGGCUCAAAGAAAUGCAAGGCUACAGGAAAAGUCACGGAAGUCUUUCUAAUCCGAUAUAUAACAUCAAUAAGAGCAAGAAUUAUUAAAGAAAUUACAAAGUACAAGAAAAACAAAAAUUCAUGAAUUAAAAUCAAUAAGUACAAAGUUUAUUUUGGGAAGAAUCUUGGGUCUCCAACAGUGAUUUGAUUGAUGAUAAAGAAAGAUAAUUUUUGGUUC